AUUGAACGCUGGCGGCAUGCCUUACACAUGCAAGUCGAACGGUAACGCGGGGCAACCUGGCGACGAGUGGCGAACGGGUGAGUAAUGCAUCGGAACGUGCCCAGUAGUGGGGGAUAGCCCGGCGAAAGCCGGAUUAAUACCGCAUACGACCUACGGGUGAAAGCGGGGGACCGUAAGGCCUCGCGCUGUUGGAGCGGCCGAUGUCAGAUUAGGUAGUUGGUGGGGUAAAGGCCUACCAAGCCUUCGAUCUGUAGCUGGUCUGAGAGGACGACCAGCCACACUGGGACUGAGACACGGCCCAGACUCCUACGGGAGGCAGCAGUGGGGAAUUUUGGACAAUGGGCGCAAGCCUGAUCCAGCCAUGCCGCGUGCGGGAAGAAGGCCUCGG
rnacentral:rRNA from 1 species